rnacentral:rRNA from 1 species
UACGUAGGGUGCAAACGUUAUCCGGAUUUAUUGGGCGUAAAGAGCUCGUAGGUGGUUUUGUAAGUUGGAUAUUAAAUACUCCGGCUCAACUGGAGAAAAGUAUCCAAAACUGCAUUACUAGAGAUAUGUAGGGGAGGAUGGAACUCAUAGUGUAGCAGUGAAAUGCGUAGAUAUUAUGAGGAACGCCAAUGGUGAAGACAGUCCUCUGGACAUUAUCUGACACUGAGGAGCGAAAGCGUGGGGAG